GGAGGGUGCGAGCGUUAAUCGGAAUGACUGGGCGUAAAGGGCAUGUAGGCGGAUAAUUAAGUUAGGUGUGAAAGCCCUGGGCUCAACCUAGGAAUUGCACUUAAAACUGGUUAACUAGAGUAUUGUAGAGGAAGGUAGAAUUCCACGUGUAGCGGUGAAAUGCGUAGAGAUGUGGAGGAAUACCGGUGGCGAAGGCGGCCUUCUGGACAGAUACUGACGCUGAGAUGCGAAAGCGUGGGGAGCAAACAGGAUUAGAUACCCUGGUAGUCCACGCUGUAAACGAUGUCGAUUUUGAGUUUGUUGCCUAGAGUGAUGGGCUCCGAAGCUAACGCGAUAAAUCGACCGCCUGGGGAGUACGGCCGCAAGGUUA
rnacentral:rRNA from 1 species